CUAUUAAAAAUAUAGUGGAUAACUAGGAUGCAUCUAAAAUUUUUUUAACAACUUAAUAAAGAUUAGAUCUUUACCUGAUAUGCAGCAGAAUAAGAAUCAAAUCUCAAAGAUUCUGAAUCCAAAGCCGUGCAUAGAUCUAAAUUCACAAACCCUCUACUUCUUGCACACGUCAAACUUCAUAGACAAGCGAGAUAAAACCUCAGAUUGAAAUACCUUCGCAAGGCACCAAGAGAGGGGAGAGAGGCUUUUGGUGCGAUGCCUCACACUAGCAAGAGGGACGCCCAAGAUGCUCCAUGCCUUGGAGAAGGGGGAUGCCCAAAGGAAAGACGCCAAGGAUGGGUGAUGGCCACUCUAUCUUCACGCCUCCUCUUCCUCUUUUUCUCAUCUUAGCACAUAAUCCAAUUGUUAUGCCAUAAUAGUUAGAGAUCCUCCCUAUUUAUAGAUGAUUUUUCAUGACCCAUAAGACUAGGAUUCUUAAUUCAAAUAGGCUUUAAAUUAAUCCAUAACUUAUUAAAGAAGGAGUCCUAAGGGAGAAAAGAUUGGCGCCUAACUAGACGCCCACAUGCACCCACACCUACACCCAAGGGUGGGGCGGCAACAACCAGCACCC
rnacentral:lncRNA from 1 species